UACGGGGGGGGCAAGCGUUGUUCGGAAUUACUGGGCGUAAAGGGCUCGUAGGCGGCCAACUAAGUCGGACGUGAAAUCCCUCGGCUUAACCGGGGAACUGCGUCCGAUACUGGAUGGCUUGAGUUUGGGAGAGGGAUGCGGAAUUCCAGGUGUAGCGGUGAAAUGCGUAGAUAUCUGGAGGAACACCGGUGGCGAAGGCGGCAUCCUGGACCAACACUGACGCUGAUGAGCGAAAGCCAGGGGAGCGAACAGG
rnacentral:rRNA from 1 species